rnacentral:rRNA from 17 species
UGACCUCGGAUCAGGUAGGAAUACCCGCUGAACUUAAGCAUA